AACGAACGCUGGCGGCAGGCUUAACACAUGCGAGUCGAGCGCCCCGCAAGGGGAGCGGCAGACGGGUGAGUAACGCGUGAGAAUCUACCCAUCUCUACGGAAUAACGCAUGGAAACGUGUGCUAAUACCGUAUACGUCCUUCGGGAGGAAGAUUUAUCGGAGAUGGAUGAGCCCGCGUUGGAUUAGCUAGUUGGUGGGGUAAAGGCCUACCAAGGCGACGAUCCAUAGCUGGUCUGAGAGGAUGAUCAGCCACACUGGGACUGAGACACGGCCCAGACUCCUACGGGAGGCAGCAGUGGGGAAUAUUGGACAAUGGGCGCAAGCCUGAUCCAGCCAUGCCGCGUGAGUGAUGAAGGCCCUAGGGUUGUAAAGCUCUUUCACCGGUGAAGAUAAUGACGGUAACCGGAGAAGAAGCCCCGGCUAACUUCGUGCCAGCAGCCGCCGUAAUAC
rnacentral:rRNA from 1 species